AAAGGGACAAGCUCUCAAGUGUUUCAAACAAGAGCGGAGUCCACCCUUCAAGUUCAGUUGUCGUUUAACGAGUGGGAAUUUUAUAGGAUGUUUUAAAAGAGGACGACGAUGGUUUACCAGGUCGGACCUGGUUAGUUCGGCCAGUGCUUUGGAGAGUGAAAGGUAGGUAGCCACCUAAGCGGUACUUAGGGCUCGGAUCAUGGCCAGUUUCUAUUUGUUGAUCGUGGGCGUGAAUAUGGUGAUUGAAAGCAACCAACCUGGCUGAGGCGUAGAGGUUAGAUAAUGAGCUCUAUGGUGUCAGGGAAGCAUGGACCAUCUCUUGACUACGUGGUUUUAUCUCGGAGAGGAAUGGAGUGAUGGUUCCGUCUACGCUGACUCAGCGGAUUCUUAUUUACCAACGUAAACUAGACACGUGUGUUUGAGGAAUACGUCAUAAGCUUUGAUAUGGGAGAAAGAUCAUUGGUUGAUCAUUGAUUGCGCAUUUUGACCAAUUUCCUUAUCACUUGUCAGACAAGAGGAAAUGAGGCAUCUGUAGCAAUUCCACAUUGAUUAUCCUUAUUCCGGGACAUCUUUAUGAACCCAGCAUCACCCCAAGUGGUCCCCCACGAGUUCUUGACCAACCAAAAAUGAGAUUCUCCCUCAGAUCCAUAACCAAUAGCCAAAACACCAUGAUCAAGGGCAUAUGGAUUGCAAGAGGGCUCGUCAUACACACCUGAAGCCAAAUGUAAAGUCUUGAAAAUUAGCUUUUUCAUUUUCAGAACAAGUUUUCAAAAGACAUACCAUGAGAAUAGAACUGGAAGGAUUCCAUAGCUGCAUUGAUGGCCACGGAGACUGGACCAACAGUAGCCACAGCCUCCAUGAGUUUUCGUUCAUCGCCUUGAGGAAUAUCAACGUACCCAAUGUCCGUGGCGCCCUUGCCUCUGGCAUAAUAACGACAAGCAAGAUCCAUAAGACCGCCAUCACAGCCGUGAUUUCCCUCCAACUCCGAACAAUCGAUCAAGUUUUGCUCUGAAAGUCCCACCAGGUUGCCCUUCUGGCGGAAAUGCUGACCCUCCAGCGAUCCAGUCUUGACACGAUGAGAAAGAAAAUAAAGGAGUGAUACCAGGAGGUCACAAAAUCUGAACUUACAGCCGAGAAUGCCCAACAAGACCCACAUUGGCCUUGAUCCUUGACGGGUGUAACAGUACCCAUGGUUCUCCAAUCGACUUCGGUGGGCAGGUCAACAUUGGCGGGCGAGAUAAAAGUGGCUCCCACUGAGGAUUUUUUACAAAGUAGCUGUGUUGUCCUAGAUGGGCUCGAUGAUUGUGUUGGGUCACUUUGGCCUUGUUCUCCAUGAAAACCUUCAUGCGGAAUUUUUCCUCGGUCGGACUUGAAUAGUUCUGAGCUGGAAGAAAGAAGAAAUCUUGAAGCACUUCUUGAAGCAAAACAUGACCUGUUUGUCUGAUUACCAUGGG